AAGGUUUUUAAAUAUAAACAGAAACGAUAGAAUAUGUAAUGUGUGCAACUGUGAUUCUGUUGAAGAUGAAUAUCAUUUUAUUUUGGAAUGUAUUGGAUACAAAGAUAUUCGUAUGAAGUAUAUCAAACCUUAUUAUUGGAGAAAUCCAUCAGUAUUUAAACUUAUACAAUUGUUAUCUGUUCGUAAUAUAAAAGAACUUAAUAAUUUUGGAAAGUAUUUAUGUAUUGCCGAAAAAAUUCGUAAUCGUUGAAUG
rnacentral:lncRNA from 1 species